GGAAGCUUUCGGGUGGAAUGAACUUAACUUAGCGGCGGACGGGUGAGUAACGCGUGGACAACCUACCCUGUACAGGGGGAUAACAAUGGGAAACCAUUGCUAAUACCCCAUAACACCUUUUAGGGGCAUCCCUUUAAGGUCAAAGAAUUUCGGUACAGGAUGGGUCCGCGUCUGAUUAGCUAGUUGGUGAGGUAAUGGCUCACCAAGGCGACGAUCAGUAGCCGGCCUGAGAGGGUGAACGGCCACACUGGAACUGAGACACGGUCCAGACUCCUACGGGAGGCAGCAGUGGGGAAUAUUGCACAAUGGGCGAAAGCCUGAUGCAGCAACGCCGCGUGAGCGAUGAAGGCUUUCGGGUCGUAAAGCUCUGUCCUAAGGGAAGAUAAUGACGGUACCUUAGGAGGAAGCCCCGGCUAACUACGUGCCAGCAGCCGCGGUAAUACGUAGGGGGCAAGCGUUAUCCGGAAUCAUUGGGCGUAAAGGGUGCGUAGGCGGCCCUAUAGGUCAGAGGUCAAAGGCUACGGCUCAACCGUAGUAAGCCUUUGAAACUGUAGGGCUUGAGUGCAGGAGAGGAGAGUGGAAUUCCUAGUGUAGCGGUGAGAUGCGUAGAUAUUAGGAGGAACACCAGUGGCGAAGGCGACUCUCUGGACUGCAACUGACGCUGAGGCACGAAAGCGUGGGGAGCGAACAGGAUUAGAUACCCUGGUAGUCCAUGCCGUAAACGAUGAGUGCUAGGUGUCGGGGGUCGAACCUCGGUGCCGCAGCUAACGCAUUAAGCACUCCGCCUGGGGAGUACGUUCGCAAGAAUGAAACUCAAAGGAAUUGACGGGGACCCGCACAAGCAGCGGAGCAUGUGGUUUAAUUCGAAGCAACGCGAAGAACCUUACCUGGACUUGACAUCCCUCGGACCGCUUUUUAACCAAAGCCUUCCCUUCGGGGACUGAGGUGACAGGUGGUGCAUGGUUGUCGUCAGCUCGUGUCG
rnacentral:rRNA from 1 species